rnacentral:rRNA from 1 species
UGGGGAAUAUUGGACAAUGGGCGGAAGCCUGAUCCAGCAACGCCGCGUGAGGGAUGACGGCCUUCGGGUUGUAAACCUCUUUCACCGAUGACGAAGCGAAAGUGACGGUAGUCGGAGAAGAAGGACCGGCCAACUACGUGCCAGCAGCCGCGGUAAUACGUAGGGUCCGAGCGUUGUCCGGAAUUAUUGGGCGUAAAGGGCUCGUAGGCGGUUUGUCGCGUCGGGAGUGAAAACACCGGGCUUAACUCGGUGCUUGCUUUCGAUACGGGCAGACUAGAGGUAUGCAGGGGAGAACGGAAUUCCUGGUGUAGCGGUGAAAUGCGCAGAUAUCAGGAGGAACACCGGUGGCGAAGGCGGUUCUCUGGGCAUUACCUGACGCUGAGGAGCGAAAGUGUGGGGAGCGAACA